UACGUAGGGGGCAAGCGUUGUCCGGAAUCAUUGGGCGUAAAGAGCGUGUAGGCGGCCCGGUAAGUCGGCUGUGAAAGUCCAGGGCUCAACCCUGGGAUGCCGGUCGAUACUGCCGGACUAGAGUUCGGAAGAGGCGAGUGGAAUUCCCGGUGUAGCGGUGAAAUGCGCAGAUAUCGGGAGGAACACCUAUGGCGAAGGCAGCUCGCUGGGACGUUACUGACGCUGAGGCGCGAAGGCGUGGGGAGCAAACGGG
rnacentral:rRNA from 1 species